rnacentral:sRNA from 1 species
AUCAUGGCGUGGCCUUUGAACUCUAAAGGAAUGAACAGUUUAGAAGCCAAACUCUGAAAAGCAAUGGGCAAAGCUGCAAAAGACAGGCAGAAAUCUGCCAGUUGGUAUCUGACUCGAAAAAUCGCAAUAGUCACAUCUGGACAUGUACGCUGUCAACACCUACACUGGGGUCCUGAGUACCGGCUUGUGUUCCCUGCAUGCAAGACUGAACUAACAAAACAAGGGUGCUGUUGAUUUGCAAGACUCUGAUUUGUUCCGUUCAAGAGCAUGCACCUAGCAGCAGAUGCAGCAGACUCAGCAGAUGGCCUGAAUCCCUGCACCUUACAGAGAACUAAACUGCUAGUGUGGAAACCAGCUGCCUUAGCAGGAUGAGAUAAAUAAAAUGAAAAGUCCCCUCCAAUCCAUCUGGAGGUCCCUUGGUCAGUACAGAAAGCAUGGCACCUGCCAGGCCAUGCUAAAGACAGGGCAAAUUUUGGGUCAGAAUAAAAUCAUAUGGUUCAUAAUGUCCUCCUUCUAAGUCAUGAGAGAAGAACACACCCCACACAUAGCACGUCCCAUCAAAUACUUGAAACGUGUUUGGAUGGGAUCCAGGAAACUGCUUGGUAUCCUCUUUUGAGCUCAGAGCUGGUAAGGCAAUUUCACAAGACAAUUUGGGUGUGGGUGGCAUUCUAGAGCAAGGUAUCCGCAGCCUUUGCAGGUCGGUCUGGAGACACUUUCUGCUACCUAUGCAAAGUUUGCAGAGGAGGAAAAGGGAAUAGCUUCCUUUUUUAUUAAUAAAACGUUCACCCAUUGUAAAUUGCCCCAAAAACAUCACAAGAGAUUGUAUUUUAAAUAAAGGAGCUCUCUUAAAUUUC